rnacentral:rRNA from 1 species
CCUACGGGUGGCUGCAGUGAGGAAUAUUGGUCAAUGGGCGUAAGCCUGAACCAGCCAAGUCGCGUGCGGGAUGACGGUUCUAUGGAUCGUAAACCUCUUUUAUACGGGAGUAAAGUGUGGGACGUGUCUUUUUUUGUAUGUACCUUAUGAAUAAGGAUCGGCUAACUCCGUGCCAGCAGCCGCGGUAAUACGGAGGAUCCGAGCGUUAUCCGGAUUUAUUGGGUUUAAAGGGUGCGUAGGCGGCCUUUUAAGUCAGCGGUGAAAGCCCGAGGCUCAACCAUGGAAUUGCCGUUGAAACUGGUGGGCUUGAGAAUGUUUGAGGCAGGCGGAAUGCGUGGUGUAGCGGUGAAAUGCUUAGAGAUCACACAGAACCCCGAUUGCGAAGGCAGCCUACCAAGCCAUGACUGACGCUGAUGCACGAAAGCGUGGGGAGCAAACAGGAUUAGAUACCCCUGUAGUC